GAAAGCUGAAAGUUUGGGUUUUUAAUUCUAAUUUCCCAAGCCCAACUAUUUUUCGCCUAAAUUACCCCAGAUGCCCUCCAAACCCUACCCAGUUUCAGUUACACACACACAAAUAUAGAGCCCUAAUCUCUCAAGAGCACAAACGAUGCUCAUUGUUCAAUCAUCGUUCUCAUUCGAACCAAGCCCCAAUUCAGUCCAAAUUCAGGCGAGUGAAUCCCAAAUGCCUAACCCACGCAUCCCCCCAUCUCUCUCUUACCGUUCUAACGGUUUCUGAUGCCAAGAUUCCCCUCUUCUUUCACUCACUCAAAAUUGGAUAUAUCUCACGAUUGGAAGGUUCUAGAGAGGGAUUCUCUAGAUGAGUGUGAGGCGUUGAAUUGAUUUCACUCAAUCCGAGCCCCACAUUCAUCAGGGGGUUCGUUCUCAAAAGGAACUGGAUCCGAUUUUGAGAGGGGGAUUCGAAAAAAUAUUUUAGAGAAAAUUUGAAAGGUUUUCUUUAACUUCUGGGUUUCUAUUCUCUGAAUUGAUUUUCUUCUUUUAAGAGUUCUUUCAAAGUUUAACAGAAGCAUAUACAAUUUUUUAUUAUCUGAGUCCGACUUUGAGUUCCAAAGAGAUGAAAAAAAUGAAUUGAAGUUCGACCUUGGUUCUGUUGUUGUUCUGUUGAGUUGCAGUUGAACCUCGCUAGUACUCGAAGGCAAAAGGCAUAUUAUUAAGGCUGUAAUUAUUAACAGAAGUUCGCAACUUCAGAUCACUUGUAGGAAAAUCAGUAGUGCCUAGCUUUCUAAACUCUGCUUCGUUUGGUAUGGACAGUCGUGGGUACAAGAUUUGUUUUUUUUGUGUGCAUUUUCACUCGUUUGGCCAACCUCAUGUUCAUUCGUUUGGCCAGCCUUCCCGCUAAGAACAGUGGAGUUCCAUUUCUAUGCCAAUUAAGAUUUGGAGUUGAAUCUUGUUAAGUUGAUUAGCAUAUGUUCAACUUUUAUUAAAUUGAAUAAUCACCAAGUGGUGUUUUGCUCUGUUGUCAUGGUUGAUCUAUUUUGCUCGAUUUCAUUAAGAUGGAAGGUUGGUUGA